GUGCCCAGGCGCGAAAACUUUACAAUGCCGGCAACGGCGAUAAGGGGACCUCGAGUGCCAGGUUACAAAUCUGGCUGUCGUGAUGCCUAAAAAGCAUUGCAUAGCAAGGGCCGGGCAAGACCGGUGCCAGCCGCCGCGGUAACACCGGCGGCUCGAGUGGUAACCGUUAUUAUUGGGUCUAAAGGGUCUGUAGCCGGCCGGAUAAGUCUCUUGGGAAAUCCAGCAGCUCAACUGUUGGGCCUUCAGGAGAUACUGUCUGGCUCGAGGCCGGGAGAGGUGAGAGGUACUUCAGGGGUAGGGGUGAAAUCUUGUAAUCCUUGAAGGACCACCAGUGGCGAAGGCGUCUCACCAGAACGGACCUGACGGCAAGGGACGAAAGCUAGGGGCACGAACCGGAUUAGAUACCCGGGUAGUCCUAGCCGUAAACGAUACUCGCUAGGUGUCGGCCACGGUGCGACCGUUGUCGGUGCCGUAGGGAAGCCGUGAAGCGAGCCACCUGGGAAGUACGGCCGCAAGGCUGAAACUUAAAGGAAUUGGCGGGGGAGCAC
rnacentral:rRNA from 1 species